GUAGGGAAUCUUCCACAAUGGACGAAAGUCUGAUGGAGCAACGCCGCGUGAGUGAAGAAGGUCUUCGGAUCGUAAAACUCUGUUGUUAGAGAAGAACGUGCAUGAUAGUAACUGAUCAUGUAAUGACGGUAUCUAACCAGAAAGCCACGGCUAACUACGUGCCAGCAGCCGCGGUAAUACGUAGGUGGCAAGCGUUGUCCGGAUUUAUUGGGCGUAAAGGGAACGCAGGCGGUUUUUUAAGUCUGAUGUGAAAGCCUUCGGCUUAACCGAAGAAUAGCAUUGGAAACUGGAAGACUUGAGUGCAGAAGAGGAGGGUGGAAUUCCAUGUGUAGCGGUGAAAUGCGUAGAUAUAUGGAGGAACACCAGUGGCGAAAGCGGCUCUCUGGUCUGUAACUGACGCUGAGGUACGAAAGCUAGGGUAGCAAACAGGAUUAGAAACCCGAGUAGUCC
rnacentral:rRNA from 1 species